AUACGAGUGAACCAAGGCUUAGUGAAAUAGAAAUGGUACCCUAGUAUAUAGGGGAAAAGGUGCCGGAUAAUCCUCUCUGGGCGCUCUCUAAGUUUCAAGUUACUGUGGCUCUAACAAUGUUUGAGUUCAAGUUGUUGUCAGUGGGAUUCUAUUGGACAGAUUUGUCCCAUGAAGCACAUUGCAUGGAGGCACAUGGAGUUCGAUUUAUGUUCGAUCGAGUGCUAGGGUCUGUAGGCCCAAGAUAAGUUAUACUAGUAUGCCGACAUCCACAACGCCCAUUACAUAUAAAAAGAAUAGAUAAGUAUUAAAUGAAGAAGAGAAAAUUAAAAACUAAUAUAGAAUAUGAACAUCAAUAUAGAAGACUAUAUCAAGAAAUUUCUUGUUAAAAGCCUUAUUAGUUUUCCCCUUCUUAAUAUAAUUUUAAAUAGAAAUAUAAGAACAAACCAAGAUAUCAUCAACUAACUUUCUUAAUAUAGAAUCAGACAUGAGGUGGGAGAAGCCCAUCUCAAGCAUUAAUUUUGGUCCUUUAAGACAUUAUUUCAACUUUUUUCUGUAACUUUGAGAGUAGGAAACUAUUUUUGCACUUAUACAUGCCCUAUUUAUAAGUUCAUUCUCUUAAUUCAUAAUUUAUUUUCUUAUUUCAUUUAUUUUAAGAAGAAAAUAGUUCUAGUACUUGGUUUCAUGUUUUCUUUGUCAGCUUUUAUUAAAAGGAGUCAAUAGAAGAGAUCAAAGAAAUCUUGAAUUUUGUUCCUUUUUCCUUCUUAAUUCUUAGCAUUGUUUCCAUAUGAACAUUAAAUUCUGUUAUAAUUUUCCAUAAAAAAGGGCUAAUCUGAGAGCUUUGGAAAUAGUAAUUUCAUUCAACAUUGUUUUUCUUCUAACUACUCAUUACUUAUUCUACCAUCUUUAAGUUAUUUGUAAAAAAUAAGAUUGGCUAUGAUUGUGAUGAUGACAUGGGUGUAAAGGAAGAAAAUAAACUACAUCCUAAAGCAUUAUCUUUCAAUAUUUUCUUGUUUUCUCAUUAAUUUGAUCUUGAAUUUAUUUCUCGUCAGUGAUUCUCCUCCACAAAUUACUGCAC
rnacentral:lncRNA from 1 species